rnacentral:rRNA from 1 species
UACGUAGGGUGCGAGCGUUGUCCGGAAUUAUUGGGCGUAAAGAGCUCGUAGGCGGUGUGUCGCGUCGGUCGUGAAAACUUGGGGCUUAACCCUGAGCUUGCGGUCGAUACGGGCAGGCUAGAGUUCGGUAGGGGAGACUGGAAUUCCUGGUGUGGCGGUGAAAUGCGCAGAUAUCAGGAGGAACACCGAUGGCGAAGGCAGGUCUCUGGGCCGAUACUGACGCUGAGGAGCGAAAGCGUGGGGAGCGAACAGG